rnacentral:rRNA from 1 species
GAUCCUGGCUUAGGAUGAACGCUAGCGACAGGCCUAACACAUGCAAGUCGAGGGGCAGCACGAAGGAAGCUUGCUUCUUGGUGGCGACCGGCGCACGGGUGCGUAACAGGUGUGCAAUCUGUCCAUAGUCGGGGGAUAGCCCAGCGAAAGCUGAAUUAAUACUCCAUGUGAAUCGAAGCCGCAUGACUUUGAUUUGAAACGCAAGGACUAUGGGUGAGCGCGCUUCUGAUUAGGUAGUUGGUGGGGUAACGGCCCACCAAGCCGACGAUCAGUAGGGGUUCUGAGAGGAAGGUCCCCCACAUUGGAACUGAGACACGGUCCAAACUCCUACGGGAGGCAGCAGUGAGGAAUAUUGGUCAAUGGGCGAGAGCCUGAACCAGCCAAGUCGCGUGAAGGAUGAAGGUUCUAUGGAUUGUAAACUUCUUUUGUCCGAGGGUAAAAAAGGCCACGUGUGGCUUCUUGCAAGUAUCGGACGAAUAAGCAUCGGCUAACUCCGUGCCAGCAGCGGC